AUGUCGCUCAAGGAGUACAAAGAAGCAUGUGAUGCGUUCGAAGCCGGACUGAAACUGGACCCUGGAAACACCGAGUUGGAGAAAGUAUUCCAGGAGGCAGUUGAGGCGAUGAAAAAGGAUGACUUGGCCAGAAAAAGAGAAAAUGCUUCAAGCCAUCCAGCUAGAGAAAACAGAC